CCGGCUCUCGCGGACCCCUUCGGAACUAUCUUCUCCACCCGCUGCCCCGCAGCCACAGCCAAUCCCACGAUCCCCUUCUCCAUCCCCCAACGUCGCUCCCAUGAUCCCCUUCUCCACUGGCGCCGCCGCUGCACCCCACUUCCCAUGCCGCACCGUUUCUCUCCCCUCCUUCUGUCCCUGAGUCGUUCGUUGGGGCUUCAUUAUCGGAACUGCUUGGCAAUAGUAAGUUGCAGUCGAGCCGCAGUAGAUUUCGUGGUGGAGGAAUCUUUGAUUAGUCGAUGCGUCUACGUUUCUUCUUCUGCUCCGCUCGCGUUGGAGCCUGUGGGGUUGGGACGCGACACCGCCUGAAGUUGCUUCUUGUUGCCCAUUGUGGUGGUCCGUCAAGGCUUCAUUAUUGGAGCUACUUGGACCUGCACCCUACGGGCGCACCCAGCCGAGCGCCCCAUCCACCAUCCAACAAGCAACGCCGCAGCUGAGGCCCAGUCCAUGAGGCGAGUAGUGCAGCGAGUAGUUAUACAUCAAUGGAUCGAUACAUGUUUGAUUGCGUCCGCGUCUUCCUCUACUCGCUGACAAAGGGUUCUCUUUGUGCCCUCCCUCAACCCCUCGAUAGCUCUUAGCAGCAGGCAGGUCGCCACACACAAGAUCUCUCCAAGUUGCCGGAUUAGAGGAGAGGAAAAAUUGGUAUGUUGUCUCGGAACCUGAGCAUGAAGACAACCCGUAUAAGGAUAUGUCUGAGAGGCCUACGUACAGGUUUACGAACUCAUCUCCAAGUUAUAUUUGAGGCCCAGAGGUCCCUUUUCACUCUCCCCCUCUGCCUUCUCGUCUUCAACCUUGCGACGCAUCUGUGCAUCUGAACACCGCCGCCGCCGACCUCAUCAUCUUCCUCGACUCUGGCCGCUGCAUCACCCUGAAUGAGACCAGAGAAACACGACACCUCUCCGUUGCUCAGCGGACCCAGUAAGAACCUUAUCUUCCCCGCCAUAGAUCUCCAUUAGGGUUUCUGAAGUUCUUAGGAGUUCAUCAUCCUUCUUCAUUAUACUUCUAUUUAAUCCUUACUUGUGUGGCAUUGAUCGGUCAUCACCAAACUUCCAGACAACAGAGGAGGACGAAGAACCGGAGAAGGAUGAACCAGAAGCUUCAAGCCAUCGAGGCCAAGAAGAUUGAUCCGCUGGGCGGUUCACAUAUUUAAUCUUCUGAAAACACUUGAUUACGUUGGCUCACUGAGUCAUGUAAUAGGCUAGUAAAACUUUGAUCUGUCGUGCCAUCGUGCACAUUUUUUUUGUGCAACACUGCUAAUCCGCCAGUUGGAAAAGGACCAUUUUAUGCUUAUGAUAGCAUCCACCAGAUUUAGCAUUAUCCUGCACACAAACAGAUCACAAGUGCCCUGCAAUAUUUGAUCACACUGCCGACUUAUCAUACCAAUGCAGUAAGGGUAACAACCCAAAAGAUUGAGCAUGUAAUUCCCUGUUUAAUUGUCAUAUUCUGCCGGCUUAAAAUGCCGCAUGCAACAAGGGGUACUAUCGCGAAACUUAGAGCGCAAUGCUUCCAAGUAUAUAAUUAUCAUCAUAUACCGGCAACUUAUAGUCCAAAGCCGGGUUGGCUUAUCAAAAAACCAUGGAUAUACUCAAAGAUGAGCGAUAGAAAUUAAGGCUACAUGGCCUGAAUCGGUUUUUAAACCAUAUGUCAAUAUGGUACAAAGAUGAACCCAAAAAAGUUCGAAUAGAAAAAAUAAUAAAGAGGAAAACAAGGCUUUCACAGGCCGCCAAGCCGAAAUCUCAAGUGCUUUCUAAGGGCUGCACAGCCACUGAGUUAAACCUUCAAGCAAACCUUAUAAGACGGGCCUCACAUGACCAAUCGUCGUUUUAACUUUGACAAGUUUAGGGUCUGAUAUAAGAUUGACUGUCAGAAGUAUGGCGGGGCAUUCCAGUCAAUUUGGGCAGAGUGGCGGACUUAAAAAGGCAGGAUAACUCGGGUUUUUAGGUGAAUACACCUGGCUUCUAAGCCUGGCUUUUAAGCCUAUUACAAGGGUCAUAAAAACUCUUGUCCAUUGAACAAAGAGCCCCCAAGUAACAUUUUAUUAAGGGCAUA